rnacentral:misc_RNA from 1 species
UGUGGUAUGUCACCACGCGUGUCUCCCGUAUGUCCUGUCUCAUUGUGACAGCCAAUCAGAUCAAAUGCAGUGUUUAUAUAUGUUCCUGGUUAUUGCGGUAUCUCUAAGUGUUGGCAGUGCACUAUUGAUCAACCCAGUCCUUGUUGACACACCGCCAGCAGCCCGCUCGAACACACUGACGACCCUGUGUGUUGGCAGUUCGGUUUCCAGAAAGAUAGUGCUGAAAACUAAACGCUUUCCCGGAACAGAAACUGGUGCAUAAUUCUCCGAACGCAUUCCUGGUACAAGUAUUGGUGUAUAUAUUCUCCGAACGUGCCUGAAAUUGUUCAUAUCCCCCGACCAAGGACCUGGCGCGUGUGGACGUAUUAGCAACUGUCCACGACUAUCAGCAGGUGUUCACGACUAUCAGCAGGUGUUCACGACUAUCAGCAGGUGUUCACGACUAUCAGCAGGUGUUCACGACUACGACGGUAAUAUAUCAAGAUGGCCUCCAGGACUAUGCAACCUAACUACUUUGUUGCCAUUCGUGUCACAGACGACGGAAUUAAACAAACGUUUGACAGAGUUCGGGAAAGAAUAAUUAAGGAAAAUGCCAACUAUUUGACAGUGUGUUCAUCCAGGGAUGAUCUCCACGUGAGUCUGUGCCAUCUCUCAAUUCAGACACAGACUCAGCUCCAUACAGCGGUGGAAGCUCUCAACAGCGCCGCGGAGAACAUCCGAUCCAUGCAAAACAAGACAACGUUAAAAGUGAAAGGAAUCGGCACGUUUAACGACGUUGUCGUAUACGGUAACGUUGAGUACGAACGUGAGCUAUCAGUUCUCCGGUCUGUGAUCGUUUCGUUUCUGGACGCUCAGGGGAUUUGUUGGUUACACAGGGGAUUUCACUCCUCACAUGACAAUUGCAAAAGUGACGAAAUCUUUCACCCACAAGACCGGUAUAACGUAUUUCCCCAGCAAGGUGUACAACACCGACAACGACGUCGUUUUUGGUGAGGAGGAUGUUGAUGCAGUCAGACUGUGUCGGAUGGGGUCCGAAAGGGACCACGAUGGCUUCUACGUCACUGACGCCACCGUUGUCGUGUAGACCACUGAGUGAGAAAGUUAUUUUCUCUUUGUAGUGAAUUGAAUUUGAUACUUUAACUGAUCAUGAUGGACUGUGCUAGCAAUUUAAGGCUUUAUUACCUGCUGAACCUGCUGAAUAGGGUUUAUGUGUUUUAAUCUUUGCCUAUACUUUACUGUUAGUUUAUACACUGUGAUAAGAAUGUUUCCCCGCAGUAACUUCUCUCAUCCCUCUACCUCGGAACCCACUCGGGACAUAUUCCGCUACACUCGUAUUGUUUGCGGAAGCGGCGAAGCAGUAAUGUUGCACAAAUGGACUGUACUCCCUGGGACUGAGUGAGUGAGUAGGUUUACGCCGCUUCUAGCAAUUAUCCGACAUCACGACGGUGCUCCUCAAACAUAAGCUACACACAAUAUUACCAUGGAAGGAAUCGAACCUCUGUGACAAAAGAACACUUUAUACCCACAAGGCUGCCUGAGACUCAUUACGAUAUUACAUUACUUGUAAAACUUUGACAGAACGUCCUUUGUGGAAAAUAUAUGAACAUUAAA